UGCUAGCUGUCUUGUCUGACCUCCGUGGGAGAGAACGUACAUAGUCCUGCAUUGACUUGAGGUGCCAUGGUGGAUUGGUACCCGGAGGGAACUCCAUCUUCUCAGAGGUGAAGAGGAAAGGGCUGUUGGGGGAGGGGUAGUGUGAGAGGAAAGCUGGAAGGAGAGGAGGGGACUUCGAUCAGGAUGUAAAGUUAAUUAAUUAAUUAAUUGAUUGAUUGAUUGAUUGAUUGAUUAAUGGAGAAAACAUUUAGAAUGACAUACAAUACUUGCCAAUUUUACCCAAAUAUUUUAGGGUUGAACUUAGGCUAAUAACUGUAAAAUAAUGAUGAAGUAGAACCAUGUAUACAGGAUGAAUUAUGGAGCCAUUUAACAAUAAGGAUCUGUUUAUGUAUUCACCAAAGAGUGAUAUCAAAGAAGACUUAAAGCAUUAUCUAGGCUGAGUACAAUGAAUGUUCAUGGAUUGGCGUGUACAUGUAUAACUAAGGUUUAGGAGUAUAUAUGCACACACACGUUAUGAUGCUAACAUUAAAAUUUCUUGCUAGUGGAAGACAGUUAAAUUUUACUUUUUCCCCUGUCAACUACAUAUUCUAACUUUUAAAAUAAUAAGCAUCAUUGAUUUUAUAAUUUUAAAAAUAUUCAUUAUUUAGUUUCCCAUGAAGCAGCUAUAUGCUUUAUGUAAUGUGUCUAUCAAGGAAGAAGAACCUUUGUGCUCUGAUGUAGUUGGUAUCAUUGGCUGGGAUGUGAGGAAAUGGUCUUGGCAAUUGCUACUGUAACCCACAUGAAAGCAUUUGACAUCAGGUCCAUUCUCGUGGCAGACACAUAUCAAAGCCAAUGCUAAGAAUCUUUGUUUGUCGGGACCACAUGUGACCUCACACAAACACUUCUGAGGAACGUUCAGAACUAUGCGCUACGUCUACUAUCCCUACCGUUGAUAAUAGAUACAGGAAAACCUCUGCCAGUGGAAAUGCUCCAAUCACUAGUGGGUUUCAAUUUCUAUUCAGCAAUAAGGUUUGUAGCAUUUAAAGCAUAAGUUCCUUCCUGUGACAGAGAUCCUCCAGACAGCUCCUUCCCACUGCUGAUGAGAGUGGCAGGCAGAGAAAACCCUCUUCUAGAACUGAAAAACCUGGCUCUAGCUCUGAGAUGCCCUGUCAGGCCUUGAAGAAAUCAUUGCAAACAUUGAGCCUCUGUUUCUACCUCUGAAGAACAAGAAAAGCAAUUCUACCUGUCUUUCUUUACUCUCCUGUUCUAUUUCAGGUACCAUGAGGCAGCACUUCAUGCUAUAAAACCCAAGGAAUCUUUAUGGAGUUUAGAAAUUAGGAGCAUUUUUCCUGUCUGGCCAGGUCUAUACCCAUCCCUGGGGAUUAGUUUUUGUCAUAUUGACACAAGCUAGUGUCAUCUGAGAAGGGAGAAGCUCAGUUGAGGAAUUGUCUCCAUCAGACUGGCCUGUGAGCAAGCCUGUGAGCAUUUCCUUGACUACCAAUUGAUAGGAAAGGUCCCAGCUCACUCUGGGUGGUGCUAUCCCUCAGCAACUGGUCCUGGGUUAUAUUAAAAAAGCAAAGUGAGUGAGCCAUGGCAAUCAAGCCACUCCUCUCUGGCCUCUCCUUCAGUUCCUUCUCCAGAUUCCUGCCUUGAGUCCCUGCCCUGGUGUCAUGGCUAAUGUCAAUUCGACUGAGUCUAGAAUCAAUAAACUUAAGCUUCUGGGGACUCCUGUGAGAGAUUUUCUUGAUCAGAACAUUUGAAGCAGGAAGACUCAUUCCAUUAAGAAAGCACACUCUGGAGGUUAGCCCAGAUAACAGGACAUGGAAGAAGGAAACUGACUUUCGAUUGCUUCUCCUCAUUCUCUCUGGCAAUUCUAAUGGUCCUAUUGCUGCAGGAUUUCUCUGCUGGUAUUAGAACCAGCUUCUUCAAGAUUCUAACAUAAAACAAAAAAGCAUCAGUUCUCAAGGAGUCUUCCAGGCCUCCCACACCAGAUGGGACUGCUGAGGCUGCACCCUCAGAAUGAGCCUCCUCUCGGCCUCCUCAUCCACUCCAUGUGAGGCAACGACCAAUGGGCCAUCCAGAUGCCAUCUUCUAAGCCAAUGUGAUGUAUCUCCUUUUCUUAUAUGCCUCAUCCCAUCAGUUCUAAAGCUUUAAAGAAUCCUGACUAAUAAACAUACUUAGCUUCCCUUCAAGAUCGGCUGUUAGCUGUAAGAUGAAAUAAACCUUUUUUCCCUCC
rnacentral:lncRNA from 1 species